rnacentral:rRNA from 1 species
AACUGCCUGAUGGAGGGGGAUAACUACUGGAAACGGUAGCUAAUACCGCAUAACGUCGCAAGACCAAAGAGGGGGACCUUCGGGCCUCUUGCCAUCGGA